AAAAAAUCCAUGAUCAAUAAUCCUGGACAGCACCCAUCAAACAACUAUCCCUCUCUCUGCUUAUGUGAUUGGUUCCCUGCAACGAUUCAAACAUCCCUCAAGCAAGUGUUUCGUCCCGUCCCUUUCGAAUGAAUCUGCGGCACUAAACGAUUCAAACGUCCCUCAAGCAAGUGUUUCGUCCAGUCCCUUUCAAAUGAAUCUGCGGCACUAUUUUAUUUUGGGAUCGUUUAUCUCUUUUGGUUUUUUGGUUUUAUGGUUUUUUCUGUAAAAGGUCCUCCUAGCCCCUUGACUGUUCGUUUACUUUUGUUAUCAUUUCUUUUGUCUGUGCGUAUACCUAACACUGUCCUAUAGUUACAUACCCAUAUAAUAGCUACUCACAGCUACAAGCCUUCUCAUAAACUAGUGGAUUCUAAACGAAGAUGGAUGACCUAGAAAUUAUUUUGGUCGAUGAUAAUGACGAAGGGGACAGAAAACGAUUCCAGGAACUUCUUCGCGACGAAGAUAAUGCCGAAU
rnacentral:lncRNA from 1 species